AAAAAGGCAUCUUUAGAUGCCAUUAAUUAAUAAGUAAAAGCUAAUG
rfam:Firmicutes bacterium CAG:449 genomic scaffold, scf211